rnacentral:rRNA from 1 species
GCAGCCGCGGUAAUACGGAGGACCCAAGCGUUAUCCGGAUUUAUUGGGUUUAAAGGGUGCGUAGGCGGUUUGGUAAGUUAGAGGUGAAAUCUCGGUGCUCAACACCGAAACUGCCUCUAAUACUGUUGAACUAGAGAGUGGUUGCUGUGGGCGGAAUGUGUAGUGUAGCGGUGAAAUGCUUAGAGAUUACACAGAACACCGAUUGCGAAGGCAGCUCACAAAGCCAUAUCUGACGUUGAGGCACGAAAGCGUGGGGAGCAAACAGGAUUAGAUACCCC